rnacentral:rRNA from 1 species
UACGUAGGGUGCGAGCGUUAAUCGGAAUUACUGGGCGUAAAGCGUGCGCAGGCGGUUUUGUAAGCCAGAUGUGAAAUCCCCGGGCUUAACCUGGGAAUGGCAUUUGGGACUGCAAGGCUUGAGUGCGGCAGAGGAGACUGGAAUUCCUGGUGUAGCAGUGAAAUGCGUAGAUAUCGGGAGGAACACCAGUGGCGAAGGCGGCGAUCUGGGUCGAUACUGACGCUGAGGUGCGAAAGCGUGGGGAGCAAACAGG